AUUAAGUGGAACUGUUCAGUGGUUUAUUCUCUCUUGCUCAGAGAUAUUCAGAAAGUGAUUUGUCUCCCUCCAACUGGCGGAUUCCCCCUCUGUUUGACUGCAAAUAUUACAUUUAAAGACUUUAGUUUGGCUAUCUUUUGCAUGGUUUUGCAUGACAGAGUACUCAGAGAACCGUAUAGCCCACACCUGAUCAGGUAAAAUCUGCCAACAACCCGAACACGUUUGUUUUUCUCCCCCAAAUGUGCGCUCUCCUCGGUGCUGAAACUGCCGAGGCGCUUCUCGUCUCCAAAGCCUGUCUCCAGAAGCAUGUCCUCAGACAUGCAGCCAAGGUGCGAUGAAGCGGACCAAAAGAAGCCACCAGCAUGACAGCAUGAAAGCAGAUCGAGACAUUUGCUCUCUACAGAGAAGCUCCAUCAUACAAGUUAAAUGAUGAUAAUGAUUUCUGCAGGCCACCAGAUUCAUUAUGGCGACCAUCUUGUCAGUUGCAGGGCAAUGGCUCAUGAAACUCAGAUAUGAGGUGCAUCACAGCUCGGAAAGCUGCAUCCGUCAUGCAAAGAUCAUCCACCCUGUCUCUUUGAAGUCUUGGAUCUGUUGUGGCAACAUGGCUUCAUCCACACAACUUUCUCCACAGAGAGACACCAGAAUGAAAAGUGGCCAUGAAUAUUAA
rnacentral:lncRNA from 15 species